rnacentral:rRNA from 1 species
GUGCCAGCCGCCGCGGUAAUACGUAGGGGGCGAGCGUUGUCCGGAAUUAUUGGGCGUAAAGCGCGCGCAGGCGGUUUCUUAAGUCUGGUGUUUAAGUGCGGGGCUCAACCCCGUGACGCACUGGAAACUGGGAGACUUGAGUGCAGGAGAGGAGAGCGGAAUUCCACGUGUAGCGGUGAAAUGCGUAGAGAUGUGGAGGAACACCAGUGGCGAAGCGGCUCUCUGGACUGUAACUGACGCUGAGGCGCGAAAGCGUGGGGAGCAAACAGGAUUAGAAACCCUUGUAGUCC